rfam:Oryza sativa Japonica Group DNA, chromosome 3, cultivar: Nipponbare, complete sequence.
UUUAAGUGCAACCAUAAGUUUCCGCGCUCAACAUUGAUUUUCCGUCUUAUUCGCAAUUUUUUUUAUAAUUAGUAUUUUUGUUGUUAUGAGAUGAUAAAACAUAAAUAGUAUUUUAUUCGUGUUUUAUGUUUUUAAUUUUUUAAAAAUAUUUUCAAAUAUUACGAACAAUUAAAAUUGGAUGAAGAAAACCAUGUCUACACUUGGA